rnacentral:tRNA from 1 species
CGGGGCGUAGCGCAGCCUGGUAGCGUACCUGCCUGGGGGGCAGGUGGUCGUGAGUUCGAAUCUCGCCGCCCCGACCA